rnacentral:snRNA from 1 species
CUCUCUUUGGAAGACAUCUGAUAAAUUUGGAAUAGUACGGAGAAGGUAGCAUGGCCCCCGAGCAAGAAUGACACGCUCGCUAGAAAUGGUCCAUUUAUUC